CUUCCGUAGGGUAACCUGCGGAAGGAUCAUUACCUAGAGUUUGUAGACUUCGGUCUGCUACCUCUUACCCAUGUCUUUUGAGUACCUUCGUUUCCUCGGCGGGUCCGCCCGCCGAUUGGACAACAUUCAAACCCUUUGCAGUUGCAAUCAGCGUCUGAAAAAACAUAAUAGUUACAACUUUCAACAACGGAUCUCUUGGUUCUGGCAUCGAUGAAGAACGCAGCGAAAUGCGAUAAGUAGUGUGAAUUGCAGAAUUCAGUGAAUCAUCGAAUCUUUGAACGCACAUUGCGCCCCUUGGUAUUCCAUGGGGCAUGCCUGUUCGAGCGUCAUUUGUACCUUCAAGCUCUGCUUGGUGUUGGGUGUUUUGUCUCGCCUCUGCGUGUAGACUCGCCUUAAAACAAUUGGCAGCCGGCGUAUUGAUUUCGGAGCGCAGUACAUCUCGCGCUUUGCACUCAUAACGGCGACGUCCAAAAGUACAUUUUUACACUCUUGACCUCGGAUCAGGUAGGGAUACCCGCUGAACUUAAGCAUAUCAAUAAGCGGA
rnacentral:rRNA from 1 species